UUUUAUUUUGACAUGCGCCCAUCCCCCCACAUCUCACGGUCGGAGUCAGUUUCACAGAGCAGCGCAGGAGGACGACAGACACAUAAAGAACAUUAACAGUUUAGCACAAAUGUUUCCCGUGGAAGUUUGAAUCUCUCUCAGUCAGGGGGGAGAUUGACUGACUGACUGUUUACUCGCCACCAAACAGUAAUUUACCCUGAAACCUUUUACAGUAAGGACUAACGUUAACUGACUGUCUGUCUGCUCUCAACCAAACAGUCAUUCAGGACCUUGUAAAGUUUAGCGCAAACGUUUCCUGCGCAAGUUUGAAUCUCUCAGUCAGGGGGGAGAUUGACUGACUGACUGUUUACUCGCCACCAAACAGUAAUUUACCCUGAAACCUUUUACAGUAAGGACUAACGUUAACUGACUGUCUGUCUGCUCUCAACCAAACAGUCAUUCAGGACCUUGUAAAGUUUAGCGCAAACGUUUCCUGCGCAAGUUUGAAUCUCUCAGUCAGGGGGGAGAUUGACUGACUGACUGUUUACUCGCCACCAAACAGUAAUUUACCCUGAAACCUUUUACAGUAAGGACUAACGUUAACUGACUGUCUGUCUGCUCUCAACCAAACAGUCAUUCAGGACCUUGUAAAGUUUAGCGCAAACGUUUCCUGCGCAAGUUUGAAUCUCUCAGUCAGGGGGGAGAUUGACUGACUGACUGACUGACUGACUGUCUACUCGCCACCAGUCAGUUACACAGAAACCUUUUAAAGUUUAGCACAAACGUUUCCCGCGCAAGUUUGGAUCUUUACCAUUGAGGGUGGCUGACUGUUCUCUACCAACCAUCAUGCACACGCAAAAACUUUAAAGAUAAGUAUGAACGUGCCCAGAGCAGUUUUCGAUCUUUACCAUUAAGGUGGCUGACUGACUAUCCUCUACCACCCAUCAUUAACACAACAAAAACUAAAGAAAUGUUACUCCAUAUGGACCUAUUCAUUUGCUCAUUAUGCUGUGAGUACACCACAGUUUUAUCAGGGAAAAAAUGUAUAUUUGUGUGUUUCUCACUGCUUGGCAAGGACAGAUGUGGCCCUGUUAAAAAUGUUUAAAUGUCGUUUGGUUUAAGGAACAGCACACUGAUUUUGUUUUAAAUAUUCCUGUUUGGACAGUCUGUUAAAGUCAUAAAGCAGGGGUGGGGAACCCUGGUCCUGGAGGGCCACUGUCCUGCAGAGUUUAGUUCCAACCCUAAUUAAACACACCUGAAAAAUCUAAUUCAA